rnacentral:lncRNA from 1 species
GCCAUGUCCAUGCCCAGGAUCCGAGCCUGAGAAUCCCCGGGCUGCCAAAGCGGAGCAUGCGAACUCAACCUCUUGGACAUGGGGCCGGCCCCUCAAAUGACUAGAGUUGAAAAGUGUGAAUUCUUUAGUGAAAGAACUGAUGGAAGAUCUCCAUUUCUACGUGGGAUCCUGGGUAGUCUGCCAUGAGCAAAGAGACAACAGGUGUAGCAGAAAAAGAGAUUUAAAUCAUUUUGAGGAAUUGACUCUCUCUGAUGUGGAAAUUACUUUUCUCUUUUAAUACAUAAAUUCUGCAGAAAUGGUGAAGAGAUAUGCUUGCCAGAGGCUGGACGAAGAUAAACAUAUUCUCCUAUGUAAGAGGCAGAGUGCAACUACAUAAGCAAACACAAAAUGUUUCUCUCUGCAAGUUUGUUCAGGGCAACCUUUGAUGGACAGAAGGGAGAAUAAAAUUA